UGCUGAGUAGCAUAAUGGUAAUGCAGCUGACUGUUAAUCAGAAGAUUGCAGGUUCGAGUCCGGCCUCAGCAG
rnacentral:tRNA from 1 species